rnacentral:rRNA from 1 species
AUGAACGCUGGCGGCGUGCCUAAUACCUGCAAGUCGAGCGAACGGACGAGAAGCUUGCUUUUCUGAUGUUAGCGGCGGACGGGUGAGUAACACGUGGAUAACCUACCUAUAAGACUGGGAUAACUUCGGGAAACCGGAGCUAAUACCGGAUAAUAUUUUGAACCGCAUGGUUCCAAAGUGAAAGACGGUCUUGCUGUCACUUAUAGAUGGAUCCGCGCUGCAUUAGCUAGUUGGUAAGGUAACGGCUUACCAAGGCAACGAUGCAUAGCCGACCUGAGAGGGUGAUCGGCCACACUGGAACUGAGACACGGUCCAGACUCCUACGGGAGGCAGCAGUAGGGAAUCUUCCGCAAUGGGCGAAAGCCUGACGGAGCAACGCCGCGUGAGUGAUGAAGGUCUUCGGAUCGUAAAACUCUGUUAUUAGGGAAGAACAUAUGUGUAAGUAACUGUGCACAUCUUGACGGUACCUAAUCAGAAAGCCACGGCUAACUACGUG